rnacentral:rRNA from 1 species
AAUGAAUUGCUUAUUGCACCACAUGUGUUUUUCUUUGAAACAAACUUGCUUUGGCGGUGGGCCCAGCCUGCCGCCAGAGGUCUAAACUUACAACCAAUUUUUUAUCAACUUGUCACACCAGAUUAUUACUAAUAGUCAAAACUUUCAACAACGGAUCUCUUGGUUCUCGCAUCGAUGAAGAACGCAGCGAAAUGCGAUACGUAAUAUGAAUUGCAGAUAUUCGUGAAUCAUCGAAUCUUUGAACGCACAUUGCGCCCUCUGGUAUUCCGGAGGGCAUGCCUGUUUGAGCGUCGUUUCUCCCUCAAACCGCUGGGUUUGGUGUUGAGCAAUACGACUUGGGUUUGCUUGAAAGACGGUAGUGGUAAGGCGGGAUCGCUUUGACAAUGGCUUAGGUCUAACCAAAAACAUUGCUUGCGGCGGUAACGUCCACCACGUAUAUCUUCAAACUUUGACCUCAAAUCAGGUAGGACUACCCGCUGAACUUAAGCAUAUCAAAAGCGGGAGGAA